rnacentral:rRNA from 1 species
AGAGUUUGAUCCUGGCUCAGGAUGAACGCCGGCGGUGUGCCUAAUACAUGCAAGUCGUACGCACUGGCCCAACUGAUUGAUGGUGCUUGCACCUGAUUGACGUUGGAUCACCAGUGAGUGGCGGACGGGUGAGUAACACGUAGGUAACCUGCCCCGGAGCGGGGGAUAACAUUUGGAAACAGAUGCUAAUACCGCAUAACAACAAAAGCCACACGGCUUUUGUUUGAAAGAUGGCUUUGGCUAUCACUCUGGGAUGGACCUGCGGUGCAUUAGCUAGUUGGUAAGGUAACGGCUUACCAAGGCGAUGAUGCAUAGCCGAGUUGAGAGACUGAUCGGCCACAAUGGAACUGAGACACGGUCCAUACUCCUACGGGAGGCAGCAGUAGGGAAUCUUCCACAAUGGGCGCAAGCCUGAUGGAGCAACACCGCGUGAGUGAAGAAGGGUUUCGGCUCGUAAAGCUCUGUUGUUGGAGAAGAACGUGCGUGAGAGUAACUGUUCACGCAGUGACGGUAUCCAACCAGAAAGUCACGGCUAACUACGUGCCAGCAGCCGCGGUAAUACGUAGGUGGCAAGCGUUAUCCGGAUUUAUUGGGCGUAAAGCGAGCGCAGGCGGUUGCUUAGGUCUGAUGUGAAAGCCUUCGGCUUAACCGAAGAAGUGCAUCGGAAACCGGGCGACUUGAGUGCAGAAGAGGACAGUGGAACUCCAUGUGUAGCGGUGGAAUGCGUAGAUAUAUGGAAGAACACCAGUGGCGAAGGCGGCUGUCUGGUCUGCAACUGACGCUGAGGCUCGAAAGCAUGGGUAGCGAACAAAAUUAGAUACCCUGGUAGUCCAUGCCGUAAACGA